CAGAGUUCAUGCCCUUACGGGUAGAUCUCCCACCCUAUGUUGUUAUUAUCUCUGUUGCUUUGGCGGGCCGCCAGGCCUUGGUCAGGCUACCGGCUCCGGCUAGUAAGCGCCCGCCAGAGGACCCAAAACUCUGAAUGUUAGUGUCGUCUGAGUACUAUAUAAUAGUUA
rnacentral:misc_RNA from 1 species